rnacentral:SRP_RNA from 1 species
GCCAGGCGUAGUGGCGUGCGCCUGUAAUCCCAGCUACUAGGGAGGCUGAGGCAGGAGAAUCACUUGAACCCAGGAGGCAGAGGUUGCAGUGAGCCGAGAUUGCGCCAUUGCACUCCAGCCUGGGUAACAAGAGCGAUACUCUGUCUCAA